GACGAACGCUGGCGGCGUGCUUAACACAUGCAAGUCGAACGGUAAGGCCCUUCGGGGUACACGAGUGGCGAACGGGUGAGUAACACGUGGGUGAUCUGCCCUGCACUUCGGGAUAAGCCUGGGAAACUGGGUCUAAUACCGGAUAGGACCCUGGGAUGCAUGUCCUGGGGUGGAAAGCUUUUGCGGUGUGGGAUGGGCCCGCGGCCUAUCAGCUUGUUGGUGGGGUGAUGGCCUAUCAAGGCGACGACGGGUAGCCGGCCUGAGAGGGUGACCGGCCACACUGGGACUGAGAUACGGCCCAGACUCCUACGGGAGGCAGUAGUGGGGAAUAUUGCACAAUGGGCGCAAGCCUGAUGCAGCGACGCCGCGUGAGGGAUGACGGCCUUCGGGUUGUAAACCUCUUUCAGCACCGACGAAGCGCAAGUGACGGUAGGUGCAGAAGAAGGACCGGCCAACUACGUGCCAGCAGCCGCAGUAA
rnacentral:rRNA from 1 species